CUUAAAGUCCGGUCACCCCAUGUAAUCCUCAAGUGAUUGAUCACCUUCCUUAUACCUAGCUUUUGAAUUUCUAAUGGAAUUGAGAUGGACAAUGGCAAUAAAAUCAAUGUAUCCUGGUCUGUCAAAUGCCACCUUUCUGUUAGUGUGAGUUUUUCACAUUGUAAAUAAUCUGGAUCGUCAUGAAGGGGUGUUAUGGUGAUUGAAACUUUGAUGAAACUGUGAUGCAGUGGUUUGAUGAAGCCGAAGAUGACGUAAGUGAUAUAGACGAAAUCCUAAAAGAUAAGUUUUCGCAAUCCGAAUAUUACAGUGUCUCUGAAAUUUCAUAAAAGAAGGAAGAGGAUACUGCCAACGGGAACAGGGCCUUGGAAUUGGAAAAGGAAAAAGCGGAAUUUCAAGAAGAGAACACAGUUAGGAUGAAAUCUGCUUAUUACGUGUACUGCGAAAGCCCGCUUAGAUGGUGCCCAACGGAAGUCUUUUGGUAAUUUGAAAAAUAGGUUUACAAUAAUUUUUGAUCGCAAUUUUAAUUUCUAUUGGGAAAAAUAGAAUUAUUACUGAUAUUAACAUACUUUUUUGUUUCUCUUUCUAGCCAUUUAGGGCACAAUAAUAUUGAAGAAUCCUUAAUAUCUCAAAAUAGUAUAAUUGAUAAGACAGUAACCUACAAAUGACACCUAAAGUUCUUUUAGGAACUCUAAGAUGAAGUAUCGUAAUUAACUAUGAGCAAAAGAAAUGAACUUCAGGCUCUAGAUAUAAAUUCCUUUUAUUUUGCUCCAUCCGUUUUAUGUCGUUUCUAUGACACUGCGUUGACAUCGUUUUAAAAUCGUUUGGGCUGGUCCAUAACCUUUAAUAAGUCGAUGCUUUUCAUGUGCUAUUGAUUUUUAAGUCCAUUUCCAAAUCAAACCAUGACUAUUUUUGCGAUAGGUGUGAUAUAUUUCGAACAAUGAUGAGCCGUUCUUUUUUCAGCUUUGAGGUUUAACAAUCCCGAUAUUAGAUAAAUUUAUAAAUAAUUCUCAACAUGUAUAUGGAUUGGAAUUGUCAGCGAGAUUAGACGAAAUGCUAUUUGGUUUUAGAUGUGAUUUUAGAUUCAAAUUCUACAUGCCCUUCGAAUAUAUAAAAUCUUUUAAAAAUCUGGUUAACCAGCCUCAUUUACCGAAUGCCAUGAUUGCCGUGCCAUUCGUGGCAUCAGCCUCAGAGGUCGAUUACCGAGGGGGCAAUGCAACCAUUUUUAUGAAAAUCUAAGGCCAACCACUGCACUGACGGGGGUUCCAUAAGCCAUGGUCGUCUCAGAAAAAACUCAUAACAAGUACUGCUACUAUCAUUUAUUACAAAAUGUAUUCAUUACAUAGAUCAGUUAUUAUUACAUUCUUUUUAGAAUUUGCUCGAUGUCGUUGUGAGUGAAUCCGAAAUCUUUAAUACAAUUUUCAAUUGAAUUUUGAGGUGCUCAGAUUCCUCAUAGUAUUUUCAAAUUUUAAAUAUUUACGCAAAAUUUAUGUAUGUUUUGUUUCUGAUCUUUUAUUUAGAUUGGAAAAAUGGAUAGAUAAAAAUAUAUCUGAGCAUCUACAAUACAUAUGGCUGCUAUUACAUCACUCAAUAAGUCGUGUGACUGACAUACAGAUGGCGCGGCUAUUGUCAAAUUUAUAUGACGUUUAUGCAUUACCAACUUACUUUUACAAGAAUAUGUGUUAAAUUUUACGACAUUUCGAUUAGUCAGGAAAAAGUGACAACCAUUUAAGUGAAGCUACUUUUGUUAUUUUCAAACAAUUUUGUGAGGCAGAUUGCUGUGGCCGUAAAGAUAUCAAAAUUAUGCAAGAACAUUUGACCAUGAGAAAGCUUUUUCAAAGUGGGUGCCGCGUUUACUUUGUACACUAAAAUCUUGUUAGUCAAAUUUAAAACUUUUUAUCUAUAACGGCUGAGGUUUUAGUCAAGUACCCGCCACUGUCUUUGAAGCGUUUUCGAAUUACUUUUACGUCGCUUGAGGCAUAGCCAGUUAUUGUCUUUGGCUCAC